rnacentral:snoRNA from 1 species
ACUCUCUAGAUUCCUGACCCAUCAGACUCAUGGUCUGAGGGGUUGUAAGAGGAGGAAGAGUACCAUUGAAACUUACUUCAAUUCUUUUGUGACCGAGAGGCUAAUUUCAAACAAAC